AUGUGGUGCUAUCUUUGUCAGUGCUAUCAGCCCUCUGGAGAUGCCUUAUACCUCUCUGUGGUGCGUCAGGAGCAUGCUCUUCAGCAGGGUGACUCGUCUGUUGAUGAGUUCUAUUCAGAGUGCUCUGCCAUCUGGCGUCAUCUUGACUCACUGCGGACAGUUGUUUGUGGCACUUACCAUUGCUGUCAGACUACGCGGUCUGACUUGGAGUUUCAGUGGGUUCAUGAGUUCUUAUCUCGUCUCUGCUCUGAGUUUGAGCCCAGGAGGGAUCACUUGCUUACUCGUUGUUGUGUUCCUCUCUCGGAGGUGCUUGCCGAGCUUCGUGCUGAGGAGACUCGCCUUUGCUUUGCUGGGUUGCUGGUGGUUUCGUCUGUGUUGGCUGCUCGGGCUCCUGUGUCGCCUGCUCGGCUCACCGCUCCACCGCUCCUACCACACCUUCAGGGGGUGGGUCGCCCUUCUUAUGCUGAGAGGGGCAGGUCGCGCCGUGACACCUUCUGUGGCUACAGCUCUCGGCCAGGUCAUCCAGAGUCUGAUUGCCGUGAGAAGAAGCGAGACCAGAGGCGCUCCUCUUCCAGUGGGAAUCCUGGAUUUUCCUCGACUCUGUCACUCACUGAUCAGGACAUUGUGAGGCUCAAGCGUCUCUUGGCUUCCUCAGGCUCUUUGUCUACCGGUUCCGCUGCUGCGGUGACUGCAUCCACUUCUCCACCACCGCAGGCAUCUACACAGUCAGGUACAUCUUCGUGGGUUCUGGAUUCUAGAGCCUCUUUUCAUAUGUCUUCUGAUUCUUUCGUGUUGUAUUCUCUCCAACCUCUUGAUUCACCUGUUAAUGUUCUUACCGCCGAUGGCACACCUCUUCCUGUUGCUAGUCGUGGUCUUCUUUCCACUCCAUCUUUCUCUGUUCCUAGUGUUUCACAUGUUCCUCGCCUUACCAUGAAUCUUUUUUCCGCUGCCCAACUUACUGAUUCUGGUUGUCGUGUCAUUCUUGAUACCGACUCUUGCUCCAUUCAGGAUCGUCGCACCAAGGCUUUGGUUGGUGCUGGCCCCGGCGUUGUGAGUCAGAGGGCCUUUGGGAAGUUGACUGGCCUUGUGUUCCUUCCGCUGCCACCACUUCUGCCAGCUCCCAUGCUCUUGCUGCCUCCUCGUAUGCGUCCUUCCAGCAGUGUGAAAGUACAUGUAGUCCCCAUGUGUGGUUUUGGUAAUUGA
rnacentral:rRNA from 1 species